rnacentral:tRNA from 1 species
GCUAUAGAAGCUUAAGGUAAGCGUUGGUCUUGUAAACCGAAGGGUGAAAUUAAAUUUCCUAUGGCU